GACUUCCUUCUUUCAACUCCAUUUCUCUCUUUCUCGUUUCUCUCUCUUAUUCCAAUUUUCUCCCUCCUCCUGGAUAUGCUCUGCGAUUCUCACCUUCUUCAAGUUCGUCCCUUCGAAUUUCUUCAAUUUUCGCCAACGUAUUUAUAAUGAGGUCCUAUGUGAAUUCUUCAAUGCAAUGGUUGUUUCAAUUUGGCUUCUCCGAUUGAAAGGGCAGCAAGCAACACUCAAUAAGCUUGCUAAGAGUAUCGAGUCUUUGACUGGCACUCUAGAAGUUGUUAACUAUACAGAUUCCUAACCACUGCGGGCUGAACUACUUCGCUCAAGUAAAGCCAGACAUUGUACAGCGCGUGUAUGGCACAUCGGUGUAACAUCCAUUACGAUUAUUAGUUAGAAAGGGCGGCAUAGUUUCGCAAGUCAAGGGCAAGGUGACUUGUGGCUGACUCGGUAAGUUAUAACUCCUUUAUGUUGGCAAUUUCAUCACUGAGAAAACUCCUAACAAGCUCUACUAUUUUUUGACCAGUGCAUCUAAAUUCUGCCUAAAUGUCUUAUACAUAUUAGUGAUUGCUUGGAAUGGUUUCAGAAUUUGAUAACUUAAGCAAUAAAGGAUAGGAGAUCGUGUGUUGGAUACCCCGUAUCCAACUUUUGUUUUACUUCUGACUGAUGAGUUGUCUUUGCUUAGUGUCAGAAGGCUUCCCAUGAUUUCAUUAUUAGUUGUGUACUUCAUGGCUUGUUGUUAGGCACAAUUUGAGAGUGACAGGGGUUCUGAUAGUUUUUGGUGCAGGCAGUUGGGGAGUGUCUUGUUUGUGACCCUGCAGUAUUCUGGAGUCAAAAUUAUUUAUUCCUGCACUGCUGGUCUUGUGGUUGUUUUGAAAUCAUGGAUCAGCUAGGUGGUUCUGAGAGUUUGUUGAUGCAAUCCUGCUUCAGUGUUGACCUGCAUUGACUGAUUAGCAGCUGCAUUAUAUUGACUAUUCUCAGGAGUGUGGUUGCUGCAGGGAGGGGCAGUGGGUACUAAUGCAGAUUUGGUUUAGCCUGGAUUCCUGGUAGUGGUUUCAGUUGGUCUAAGUAGUAGCUUUGGGUAGCUGUAGCAUUAGGUAUUCUGGUGUGCGAUAUUUAGAGUGUUUAGGUAUUUGAGUGUGUUAAUAUGUCAACUUAGGAGCUUAUAUUAAUCCUUAGCCUCAUGAAGAUGGUAGGAAAGCUAACUAGUUUUUUAGUAACAUAACUGAAGUAAGUAAAUUAAUAAAACUUAGGUAGUGUUUGGCCAAGCUUCUAGGAGAGUUUCUAUGACCCAAAAGCUGAAACUAGGCCAAACACCACAAAAGUUGAAAGAUGUUUUGAAGGAAAUAAUGCCCUUGGUCCAAGUAUGCAUUCUAUGUUAAGUCUAAUAAAUGCGGUUCAGUAUUAAUUAACAAGUUAAUAAUUCAGUGAGAUCAAGUGAGCUGAAUGCCUAGCUAGAGGCCGCUUCAGUUCAAGUGGAAUUAAUGAUAUUAAUCCACAGCUUACUCUUGACUGAACCCGUAGGGUCACACAAAUAGUACGUAAACGGAUCAAGUAUUUAAUGGCAUUAAAUACUCUAUCUAUGGAUAUUCGGAACCGACGGAUCUUGGUUUCAGUGGGAGCUGAGAUCGUCACAGGCAAGAAAUGAAUACUCCGGAAACGAUGAUAUUACCGGAAACGGAAAUAUGGAUUGUAUCGGAAAUAUAAAUAUUAUCCAAGUCGUAGAUGUUGCCGGAAACGGAAACAUGGUACGUAUCGGAAAAUAUUAUCGGAAAUGGAAAUAUUACCAGAAUCGGAAAUAUUGCCGGAAACGGAAAUAUUGUCAGAAUCGGAAAUAUUACCGGAAUCUGAAAAUAAUUCCGGAAACGGAAAUAUUAAAUAUUUGUUCGAAACGGAAAUUAAUUCCGGAAUCGGAAAUGUUAAAUAUUGUUCGUAUCGGAAAUGAAUUCCGGAAUCGGAAAUUUAAUCGGAAGCGUAUCGUACGAAUAAGCAUCGGACGAGGCCUGCCGGACGAGGCCCAGCACGAAGCCAGGCCAUCGCCCAGCAAGCCAAGCGCGCCGCACAAACAGCCACGCCAGGCCCAGCGCAAGGCCAGGCCCAGCAGGCCGUGGCAGCGCGCACAGCGCGCGCGGGAGCUGCGUGGGCUUGCAGCUCGCGCAGGCCUCGCUGCGUGGGCUGCUGCUCGUGCGCACGCAUGGGCGGCCCAUCGUGGCUGCCGUGUGUGCGUGUGUAAGUGUUUGUGUUCGUGCACGUUUCCUAAAACGUGCGGAGUUCGGUUAAUGAUUAAAUUCCUAAUUCUAUUUGAUAAAUUAAUUAAAUUAGAGUUCUUGUAGAAUUCUAGGUUUAAUUAAUUUGUAUCUGAAUAGGAUUCCAAUUCCCUUUCCAUACCCCUAUAAAUAUGUGGCCAGGGUUCACAAUUUAUAACGAGUUUUCAAAGUAUUCAAAGUGAGUUUUUGAGAGAAAAAUUCAGCCACACAUCUUGCUCAAAAGUGCCGAAAAUUCUAGUACCUUAAGGGCGAUUCUAGUUGGUCAAUCUUAAGGCGGAUCCGGACGUGCUGUGGACUAUCUACGGAGGGACGACACUUGGAGUCCUAAAGACUUGUUCUGGUUCGCUUCGGGCGCAGCUAGGGAGGGCACGCAACAAAGAGUAUGCAUCUAAAUUAUGCUAUAUGAUUAUGUGUAAAUAAUAUGUAAUCCUGGGUUAAUGGUUGUUUCCGCAUGAUUUAUGUAAUAUCAUAUGUAUCAUAACCUAACAGUGGUAUCACGAGCCCCUUAUUAUUUUCAUAAUCUAAAUUGCAUGAACAUGGUUAAAUAUUACAAAUUUGCAAGAAUUAAAA